AUUUGAGGUCUAACCUGCCCACUGAAGGAGUUUAAAUGGCCGCGGUAUAUUAACCGUGCGAAGGUAGCAUAGUCAAUAGUCUCUUAAUUGGAGGCUUGAAUGAAUGGUUGGACAUAAGGAAGGCUGUCUUGAUUGGUUUGAGUGAAUUUAACUUUUGUGUGAAAAGGCAUUAAUGAUUUAGGGGGACGAUAAGACCCUAUAAAACUUGAUGGUUAAUUUGGACUUUGUGAUUUUAGGGUAAUGUAAGGUUUGAGGUAUGUCAUUGUGCUGGGGCGGCAAGAAUAAAAUUUGUAACUGUUCUUUUAUAUAAAAUAAUUAUUUUUAGAGUUUGAGCCUGAAUUUUGGGUUAAAAGAUUAAGUUACUUUAGGGAUAACAGCGUUAUUUUUCUUGAGAGUUCAUAUCGACAGAAAUAUUUGCGACCUCGAUGUUGAAUUAAAGCUUUCUCCGGGAGUAGAAGUUCGGAUGAUAGGUCUGUUCGACCUUUAAAGUUUUACAUGAUUUGAGUUCAAACCGGUGUGAGCCAGGUUG
rnacentral:rRNA from 1 species